AGGAGGGCCAGCCAUCCUGGUUUUCCUGGGACUGAGAGCUCUCAGGAUACAGGGCUUUCAGUUUUAAAAUCAGGACAGUU
rnacentral:miRNA from 10 species